rnacentral:lncRNA from 1 species
GAGAUAAGGAAGAACAUUAUUAUGCCUAUUUUGCAGGAGAUGAUGGUCAAAUGUGUGUGCAAUAUGAUGGACUGAAUGAUUUCUCCCUUCAAAGUGUAGACUCUAAACAUGCCAUGUUAGUCUUGAAUAAUAUCAACAAUGGGAAAGUGGUCNNNNNNNNNNAUUAUAUCCUCACUUAGAAUAGUAUUUGGCAAAAAGAAGGU